AAGUGAGUUGGUUUUAGGGCACUGGGUGGUGAAGUCAUCUCGGGCAGGAAAACUGGUGUUUCAGUAAGCGUGGGCCAGGCUGCGUCCACCCACAGAAACUGGCCCGUCUCCCUCCAUGGCUGUGGUGAAAUCCCCUGAAUCAUCACUAAUCACCGCCUGGGCUGACGAUGUUCCUGGGCUGCUGGGCAGAGCGGCUGAUGGUUGCCGGGAAGCUGGCAGAGCUGAUCUGGAGGGACACGCCGGGAGCAAGUGACUGAACGUGUCCGGAUGGCACGAGAGGAGAGGUCUCCAGUGGGGAUGGACAACAGGAGAGCUGUAGGACCAUGCAGAUGCACGGGUGGGCUGUCUUCAGCAAAGGGCAUUGGGACACCAUCGCUGCUGUAACAGCCUUCAAGCUGGGACUUGUCUGGGGAGAGAUGGCUCCAGAGAUACCCAUGGGAUUGUGCAUGAGAAGAGGAUUGCAAUGGAUGGGAGCGCUCAUGGCCCCGGAGUUCCAGCACUUCUCUGUGGGAGAGUGAUGGCUUUUUUUUUUUUCUUUUUAUAAGUCAAUGUUUUAAGGCAAAACACUGCUGAGUGUCUUGAGGAUGAUCUUUCCCCGGAGCUGGAAUAAUUGCCUUCCUACCUUCCCUCUGCCUCUGGGAUGCCCCUCCUGCCUGGCCAAGGGGACCUGCUGCUGCUAGCACCGCUUCCUCUCCUUCAUCUGGUGGGUGGCACGGGGUGCUCUCUGUUCCCACAGAGGAAUGGCUGGUGGGGUCCCAGCACUGUCCCAAACCUUGCACAUACCUAGAGGGCGGAAAGGACCAUGAGGAACUGACAGAUUGGCUGUUUCCCACUGCUGAAAACCUCAGGAGAGGCUUGAGGAUUUCUUACAGUUGUUCAGGAGGCCUGAGGAGAGCAGAGGUGGGAGUGCAAGACCAUGCAUGCAUGGACGUGUGUGAAACCGCCACAGUGCACCCAGCCAUCCCCGGUGCUUGGCUUCAGUGUCCCCUGGGUGCUAUGGCCAGCUCCUCAUUCUGCCCCAUGUCUCAGGAGAAUGUUCCCCAGCUCAUGCCAGCUCUUACAGCACCCCAGAAGGUCCAACCUCCACUUUCUCCACUCAAACUGUCACAGAGCCCUAUCCCAGCAGCAGGAGGAAUAAAGGAUCAGCGCUCGAGCAGUAUUGAUGAGGAAUGACACCAAGCGGUGGGUCACCUGGAGCCCCCGGAGAGGUGGAAGACAGCAGAUGGCCAGUGUGUCUUUCCCAAAUACUUUUAUAUGAUGAAUACCGAAGCCAGCAAUCACACGUCUUUGUAUUUAGCCAACAUGUCCUUUCAGCCAUUGCUUUCCUGGGGCACCUGUGCACUGUCCUCUCUUGCAAUCAUUUCCAUUUUGCUCAUCACUGACAUGGCCAUGUUGAGAUUUUUGAUACAACUUAGUUCAAGAGUGAAGUUUCCACCAAGAGCAACUUAUCUGGUGAGACACCAGCUUGUAUAGGGUUUGUUUAAAUACCCAGCUGAUGUGCAUUUCAGCUCAGUUUACUCACUUUCACUUAAAGCCAACUCUGAGCAGGGACCACCAAAAAUCAUGUAUUAGAUUACCUAAAAGAGAUUUGGAAUAAACACAUCAAGAAGAUAUGGAGAAACAGUGGAAUACAUUUAUAAACCCAAGCGCUAUUUGAGGCUGAAUGGGCAUGGCAACAGUUAUUAAAAAGACUCAUGAAACUAGGAAGGUAAAACAAUUUUUAAGAUUCUAAGAAAUAUUUUCCAGUGGGUACCAGCGAGGGGGGAAACACUUUGUUGUUUGCCGGCACUCUUAGUCCCAUGACACUUUCAAACACAAACAUCCACCAUUAAGCCUUUAUUAAUCCUCCCUUCUGAUUUUUAAUGCAGGUCAUUUAGCAUUACUUAAUACUGAGCUUAAGGGGAAAACCUCAUAAGCCAACCACUAAUCUCUGAAUUUGGCACAUAACUCUCCCUUUGCUGUUUCUCAACAUGUUCUUUCUUGUCCUUCCACCCCACUGAGAACCACCCCAGAGUGCCGGCAGCGGUGAUUGCGGCCGGCGGCAGCGAGCCGGCCGCAGUGGCCAGCCUGUGCUUACACCAGCCGAGCGGCUGCACUUUCCAAAUGACCUGUUGCUGGACAUAUUUUGGAAUCUGGAAAUGAGCCUCUUGGAGAAGGUAACCUGUGGUGAAGGUAACCUGGCUGUUAUCAAGCCACACUGAGACUGUGGGAUCCUUGGAAAAUAAGAAGAACAAAAGAAAGACAGACAUAUAUUUAAUUUAAGCAACAGUACUUAUGCUCGGCAUGAAGCAUGCAGCUAAAGCAUAUUUUAGAAGCAGCUGAAAGCCUGACAGUAUUUUCUUUCCUUUGCAAGGCAGAAAAGACCUCUGCUACCACCCCAUUGGGGAGGUAUGUGAUACUAACCAGGAGAGGGAAACCUCCAAGGCUGGGCUUUGGGGGCAUCAACAAUGGAGAAGCCCCAGACUCUGGCUUGCAAAUGAGAACAGGAUCGCUUCUUCAGCUUACACCAGUCAGUGCUAACUGUAUUUUGUAUUUGUAUGCUGUUGCUUUUAGCAAGCAUCAUGCAGGCUUUUAGCCAACUCUUGGAGAUUGUCCUUAGCCCCAUUUUGCAGUCUGGAGGAAGCAGCUUUGCUGAGGCUGGGGAAAGGGUGGCCAAGGCAGCUCUUGGACACAGUCCUCUGCCUUCUUGCUCACCCUCUUCAGAGCUGAGGGUUAACCUUGGCACUCUUCUUCUCUGGAUGAAAUAUACAAAAAAAAUAAAUCACGGUUUGAAAUGCA